AUGGAAUAUGAAAAGUUGAUCCAUGGAGGUUACACCAUCGCCGGCCGGAUCGCAGCAGGAAACACGUACGCCAUCACAAUGGAAAACGACCGAGCAAGAUCACAACACACUUACAGAGUGCCGACGGGGAAACUUAAUUUCUUUUUAAUUACACUUCACACGGUUUUUUCCUUUCUUCUGAUUUUGUACUUUUGUUCGAGUUUCAUUUAUUCUGAAAGUCUUGUUGUUAAAAGAGAUGAAAGUUGGCGGCGACGAUAG